AAUCUUCCACAAUGGUCGAAAGUCUGAUGGAGCAACGCCGCGAGAGUGAAGAAGGUUUNAGGAUCNUNAAACACUGUCAUUGGGGNCAAAUAAAUGACGGUACCCAAUGAGGAAGCCUCGGCUAACUACGUGCCAGCAGCCGCGGUAAUACGUAGGGGGCGACCGGUGUCCGGAAUUACUGGGCGUAAAGUGUACGUAGGCGGCUAUAUAAGUCCGGUGUGAAAUACCAGUGCUUAACACUGGAAUUGCAGUUGUAACUGUGUAGCUUGAGUGCAGGAGAGGAAAGUGGAAUUCCUAGUGUAGCGGUGAAAUGCGUAGAGAUUAGGAGGAACACCAGUGGCGAAGGCGACUUUCUGGACUGUAACUGACGCUGAGGUACGAAAGCGUGGGUAGCGAACA
rnacentral:rRNA from 1 species